GGCCGCGAUCCGGUUCAAGUAAUCCAGGAUAGGCUGUGUGUACGCAGGUUGGCCUAUUCGUGAUUACUUGCACUGGAAGGCAGCCGCCAGUCAA
ensembl:miRNA mir26a-2 microRNA 26a-2